rnacentral:ncRNA from 1 species
UUAAAGUUUUAUUUAAGCUUAAUAAUUAAGUUUUAUUUUAAUUUAAAUGUGAAUUUUUGUGAAUAUUAAUUUUAAAAAAAUUAUUUUGCAAUAAAUAAUAUUAAAUAUUAAAGAAAUUUAGAUUUAGUAAUAAUAAAUAAUAUUGACCAAAUUUGUGCCAGCAGUUGCGGUUAUACAAAUAAUAUAAUUUAAUUUUAUUAGUUAUAAUUAAUUAAUAUAAAUUAAUUUUAAUAUAAAAUUUAUAAGGUGAAAUUUAAAAUUUUUAUUAAAAUUAGUAAGAUUUUAUGAAGUUAAGAAAUUUGAAAUAUAAACUAGGAUUAGAUACCCUAUUAUUUUAAACGUAUUUUUGAAAAACUAAAUUAGUAAUAGUUAUGUUCUUUAAAAUUAAAGAUUUUGGCGGUAUUUUAGUCUUUUCAGAGGAACCUGUUCUAUAAUUGAUAGUCCACGAUUUAAUUUACUUUUAUUAUUAAUUUACAUAUCGUCGUAGUUUGAAUAUUUUAUUAGAAUUUUAAUAUUCAAGAUUUAUUAUAAUAAAAUAAAUCAGAUCAAGGUGUAGUUUAUAUAAAAGAAGAAAUGGGUUACAAUAAAUUAAUUUUAGGAUUAUUAUUUUUAAAAUAAUAUAAAUUUGGAUUUGAAAGUAAUUAUAAUAAAUUAAUUAUUAUGAUUUUAGCUCUAAAAUAUGCACAUAUCGCCCGUCGCUUUCAUUAUAAAAUGAGAUAAGUCGUAACAAAGUAGAUUUACUGGAAAGUGAAUCUAGAAAGUC